rnacentral:lncRNA from 1 species
UUAAUUGUGAUAAAUGAACAAUAGUCACAAACUUUAAUGGGGUAAUUUUUGGUACAUGAAAUGCAUGUUCCCAUCUUAAUGGAUGUUAGUGGCUAUUUUCUCUUUUUCACUUAGAUCAUCCUAUGUUUACCUUGUAAAUAGCUAGCUCCUCUACUCUAUCAUAUCUUAUUGCUACAUUUCUCUAUUGCUCUCCCUUUUAUCUCUUUUUUUUUUUCACUUUCACUUUUCCUAAAAUUUUCUUGAAAGAUUUCUAACUUUUACUUUUCUAGUUUUCUAAAUUAAUAAAAUCUAUGAUCUAUAGCUAAGCUAAUUGUAUCAAGCAAUUUACAUGUCAAAAAGCUCUUUUCUAUCCUCACCUUAUCCGAUUGACCUAGUGCACACCUCAAUCCUUAUAAUGUAUCCUCACACUUCAAUUCCUAUUUGUAUAGAAAGUAAAUGUCUAAGGUAAAUUCUUUUAUCUUUUAUCACCAAGAUACUUUUACAUGAAACUAUUAAAUAUCAAUGAUUCAUCUCAACCAACAGCAACAAAAUUUAUAAUUUUUUGAAACAAAACGCUUUAGUUUGUAACUAUCUCUGUAAAAUAAAUUUGAGUUUCAAAUCAAAAAAUUAAAAAUUAGGUCGAGAUUUUGAUCUACUAUAGUUCCCUAAACUAAGGGAACCUAAUAAUCAUGAACUAUUUUUUUCGCCUAAAAACAUAGUAGACACGUUGAGAUUUAAGUCAAUUUAAUCAUGGCAUCGCCACCAACAUAAAAAAA